rnacentral:rRNA from 1 species
AUUGAACGCUGGCGGCAUGCCUUACACAUGCAAGUCGAACGGCAGCGCGGGGCGACCUGGCGGCGAGUGGCGAACGGGUGAGUAACAUAUCGGAACAUACCCUAGAGUGGGGGAUAACGUAGCGAAAGUUACGCUAAUACCGCAUACGCACUAAGGUGGAAAGUGGGGGAUUCGCAAGAACCUCAUGCUCAUGGAGUGGCCGAUAUCUGAUUAGCUAGUUGGUGAGGUAAAGGCUCACCAAGGCGACGAUCAGUAGCUGGUUUGAGAGAACGACCAGCCACACUGGAACUGAGACACGGUCCAGACUCCUACGGGAGGCAGCAGUGGGGAAUUUUGGGACAAUGGGGGCAACCCUGAUCCAGCAAUGCCGCGUGAGUGAAGAAGGCCUCGGUGUAAG